rnacentral:rRNA from 1 species
GACGAACGCUGGCGGCGUGCUUAACACAUGCAAGUCGAACGGAAAGGCCCUGCUUUUGUGGGGUGCUCGAGUGGCGAACGGGUGAGUAACACGUGGGUAACCUACCCUUGACUUUGGGAUAACUUCAGGAAACUGGGGCUAAUACCGGAUAGGAGCUCCUGCUGCAUGGUGGGGGUUGGAAAGUUUCGGCGGUUGGGGAUGGACUCGCGGCUUAUCAGCUUGUUGGUGGGGUAGUGGCUUACCAAGGCUUUGACGGGUAGCCGGCCUGAGAGGGUGACCGGCCACAUUGGGACUGAGAUACGGCCCAGACUCCUACGGGAGGCAGCAGUGGGGAAUAUUGCACAAUGGGCGGAAGCCUGAUGCAGCAACGCCGCGUGCGGGAUGACGGCCUUCGGGUUGUAAACCGCUUUCGCCUGUGACGAAGCGUGAGUGACGGUAAUGGGUAAAGAAGCACCGGCUAACUACGUG